rnacentral:rRNA from 1 species
GGUUUGAUUAUGGCUCAGAUUGAACGCUGGCGGGAUGUUUUACACAUGCAAGUCGAACGGCAGCACGGACUUCGGUCUGGUGGCGAGUGGCGAACGGGUGGAGUAAUGUAUCGGAACGUGCCUAGUGGCGUGGGGAUAACUACGCGAAAGCGUAUUAAUACCGCAUACGCGCCCUUCGGGGGAAAGCGGGGGGACCUUCGGGCCUCGCACUAUUAGAGCGGCUGAUAUCGGAUUAGCUAGUUGGUGGGGUAACGGCUCACCAAGGCGACGAUCCGUGGCUGGUUUGAGAGGACGACCAGCCACACUGGGACUGAGACACGGCCCAGACUCCUACGGGAGGCAGCAGUGGGAAUUUGGACAAUGGGGGAAACUCCUGAUCCAGCCAAUUCUGGCGUGUGCGAUGAAGGCCUUCGGGUUGUAAAGCACUUUUGGCAGGAAAGAAACGGCACGGGAUAAUACCCCGUGCAACUGACGGUACCUGCAGAAUAAGCACCGGCUAACUACGUGCCAGCAGCCGCGGUAAUACGUAGGGUGCAAGCGUUAAUCGGAAUUAUCAGCGUAAAGCGUGCGGCAGGCGGUUCGGAAAGAAAGAUGUGAAAUCCUAGAGCUUAACUUUGGAACUGCAUUUUUAACUACCGAGCUAGAGUGUGUCAGAGGGAGGUGGAAUUCCGCGUGUAGCAGUGAAAUGCGUAGAUAUGCGGAGGAACACCGAUGGCGAAGCAGCCUCCUGGGAUAACACUGACGCUCAUGCACGAAAGCGUGGGGAGCAAACAGGAUUAGAUACCCUGUAGUCCACGCCCUAAACGAUGUCAACUAGCUGUUGGGGCCUUCGGCCUUGGUAGCGCAGCUAACGCGGUGAAGUUGACCGCCUGGGGAGUACGGUCGCAAGAUUAAAAACUCAAAGGAAUUGACGGGGACCCGCACAAGCGGUGGAUGAUGUGGAUUAAUUCGAUGCAACGCGAAAACCUUACCUACCCUUGACAUGUCUGGAAUCCCGAAGAGAUUUGGGAGUGCUCGCAAGAGAACCGGAACACAGGUGCUGCAUGGCUGUCGUCAGCUCGUGUCGAGAUGUUGGGUUAAGUCCCGCAACGAGCGCAACCCUUGUCAUUAGUUGCUACGAAAGGGCACUCUAAUGAGACUGCCGGUGACAAACCGGAGGAAGGUGGGGAUGACGUCAAGUCCUCAUGGCCCUUAUGGGUAGGGCUUCACACGUCAUACAAUGGUCGGGACAGAGGGUCGCCAACCCGCGAGGGGGAGCCAAUCCCAGAAACCCGAUCGUAGUCCGGAUCGCAGUCUGCAACUCGGACUGCGUGAAGUCGGAAUCGCUAAAGACCGUGAUCAGCAUGUCGCGGUGAAUACGUUCCCGGGUCUUGUACACACCGCCCGUCACACCAUGGGAGUGGGUUUUACCAGAAGUAGUUAGCCUAACCGUAAGGAGGGCGAUUACCACGGUAGGAUUCAUGACUGGGGUGAAGUCGUAACAAGGUAA